rfam:Dipodomys ordii contig_18327, whole genome shotgun sequence.
GGAUGUGAGGGCGAUCUGGCUGUGACAUCUGUCACCCCAUUGAUUGCCAGGGUUGAUUUGGCUGAUCUGGCUGGCUAGGCGGUCUCCUUCCUCACUGCUCCAUGUGCAUUCCUCCCGAAGUUGCGCACUCAGUCGAAAAGGAUGACCAUCCCCGAUAGAGGAGGACUGGUCUUUGGUCAAGGGGAUACGAGUAGCUGCACACCCCUGCUAGAACCUCCGAACAAGCUCUCUAAUUUUUUUUUUUGGUUGGUUGUGGGUCUUGAACUCUGGCC